rnacentral:rRNA from 1 species
UACGGAGGGUGCAAGCGUUAUCCGGAUUCACUGGGUUUAAAGGGUGCGUAGGCGGGCAGGUAAGUGAGUGGUGAAAUCUCCAAGCUUAACUUGGAAACUGCCGUUGAUACUAUCUGUCUUGAAUGCUGUGGAGGUGAGCGGAAUAUGUCAUGUAGCGGUGAAAUGCUUAGAUAUGCCAUAGAACACCGAUUGCGAAGGCAGCUCACUGGACAAAUAUUGACGCUGAGGCACGAAAGCGUGGGGAGCAAACAGG